rnacentral:misc_RNA from 1 species
GGGAAGAUAAUGAAGAAUGAACUGAUAUUGGAUAGAUAGAUGGACAGACAAAUUAUAAUGCAGGUAAAGAAACUAUACAGCAAAAUAAGGGUGAGAAGCAAAGAAACUCCACUUUUAUAAUUUAUUCCUUAAGCAUAUCAGAUAUAAAGCAGUUCUCCAUGUUGUUUAACAAAAUCUAAACCAUUUAAUAUUUAAUGAAGGAACUCUCUGUUUUUCCUUAAAAAACACACAGAGCAUUAAAGAUGUCAUAUCAACAUUUCAUACACAUGGUUUACAGCUAACUCUAAGAAAGAGAAGUUCUUUAAAUUCUAUGGCACAUCCAAAACACAC